rnacentral:rRNA from 1 species
UACGGAGGGAGCAAGCGUUGUUCGGAUUUACUGGGCGUAAAGGGCGUGUAGGUGGGUAGCUAAGUCAGAUGUGAAAUCCCUCAGCUCAACUGAGGAACUGCAUUUGAAACUGAUUAUCUUGAGUGUGAGAAGAGAGAGCGGAAUUUUCGGUGUAGCGGUGAAAUGCGUAGAUAUCGAAAAGAACACCUGUGGUGCAAACGGCUCUCUGGCUCAACACUGACACUGAGGCGCGAAAGCUAGGGUAGCGAACGGGAUUAGAUACCCCCGUA